GGGUCGAUGGCGUAGUUGGUUAUCGCAUCUGUCUAACAUGUAAAUGACACAGAAGGUCCUCAGUUCGAACCUGGGUCGACUUA